rnacentral:rRNA from 1 species
UACGGAGGGUGCAAGCAUUAAUCGGAAUUAUUGGGCGUAAGGGCGCGUAGGCGGAAAUUUAAGUCGGAUGUGAAAUUCCGGGGCUCAACCUCGGAACUGCAUUUGAUACUGGAUAUCUAGAGGAUAGGCGGAGAAAGCGGAAUUCCACGUGUAGCGGUGAAAUGCGUAGAUAUGUGGAAGAACACCAGUGGUGAAGACGGCUUUCUAGCUUAGACCUGACGCUGAGGCGCGAAAGCAAGGGGAGCAAACAGG